rnacentral:rRNA from 1 species
AGUGAACGCUGGCGGUAGGCCUAACACAUGCAAGUCGAACGACAGCACAGUAAGAGCUUGCUCUUACGGGUGGCGAGUGGCGGACGGGUGAGGUAUACAUCGGAAUCUACUUUUUCGUGGGGGAUAACGUCGGGAAACUUACGCUAAUACCGCAUACGACCUACGGGUGAAAGCAGGGGAUCUUCGGACCUUGCGCGAUUGAAUGAGCCGCUGUCGGCUUAGCUAGUUGGCGGGGUAAAGGCUCACCAAGGCGACGAUCCGUAGCUGGUCUGAGAGCAUGAUUCGCCACCUUGGAUCUGAGACACGUCCCAGACACUUACGGUAGGCCGCAGCGGGAAAUAUUACGCAAUGGGGGCGAGCCUGAUCCAGCCCUACGGCGUGAGUGCAGACGGCGCUCUGGUUGUAAAGCCCUUUUGUUCGGAGAGAAGAGCAGCAGUUUAAUCCCCCGCUGUACUGACGGUACCCAAAGAAUAAGCACCGGCUAACUUCGUG